rnacentral:tRNA from 1 species
ACCUGGCUAGCUCAGUUGGUAGAGCAUGAGACUCUUGAUCUCAAAGUUGUCAGUUUGAGUCCCACGUUGGGCG